rnacentral:lncRNA from 1 species
AUGGACAGCUCCCUGGCGCCCGGCUCAGGGCGCGGACUGCGGAAGGGAACAAGAGCGCGGAGCGUCCGCGCACCGUCAGCGGGAUUGGGCGGCGGAAGAGCACACUGCGUCUCUCUCCCACCUAUUUGGUUCCUCCCUUCCCCUCAGAGGGCAGCGAGAGGCCUGCAGUGGCUGUCCCGGGAGGCGAGUGCCUACAAGCGAGGGGACCGGCCGGAGCCGCAGCCGUCCUCCCCCCGCUCACCGCCUCUGCCCACUAGCAGUGCCAGAUCGCAGCGCCUCGCCCAGCCCCGGCGGGCGGGCGGGUGGGCGUCGCUGGCGCAAGGCCCGCCCAGCCCCUCCCGCCCCGCCAGAGCCUGGCCCCCGAUUGGCCGGCAGGCUGGAAGUGCGAGGAGGCGGAGCCCGCCUCUGCCGGCUCGCGCCCGGAAAGGUCGGCCGGGGAGCGCGGGGUGCCGCCGGGAGGGCGCGCGGGUGCGCGGCGGGCGCCUAGGGAGACGCAGCGGCGGUUGGAGCGGCGGCGCUUGGCUCGGGUCGCAACCUCUGCCUCCCGCCGCGGCCCGCAGUCCGCGGCGCCCGAGCUCCGAGGCGUUUUCCCGGGCGCUGGGCCCGCGGCGGCCAAGACGGCGGGCCGGCCGGGCGCGGGGCGGCGGGCACUGUGCUGCGGGCUGCGGUGGUGGGGGACGGCGGGCCGCGGCGCGGGCCCGGGGCCCGGCGCGUGCGGCUGGGAGGCGCUGUGGGGGGCUGGCGCGCGGGCGGCGGCCGGGGCCAUGGCCGAGGGCGGCGGGGCCGCGCGGAGGAGGGCGCCGGCGCUGCUCGAGGCGGCUCGCGCGCGCUACGAGAGCCUGCACAUCUCGGACGACGUGUUUGGCGAAUCGGGCCCGGACAGCGGCGGGAACCCCUUCUACAGCACGUCGGCCGCCUCGCGCUCCUCCUCGGCCGCCUCCUCGGACGACGAACCCGAGCGCCUCGGCCCCGCGCGGGGCCCCGGCUCCCCGGCGCCUGGCGCCCCCACCGCGCAGGAGUCGGAGGAGGACGAGGCUGGCGCGGGCUGGAGCUCCACACUGCGGGACCGCCCGCCCCCGCGCUUCGAAGACACUGGCGGUGCUACAUGAACCCCUGAUUGACGAGGACCCCGUGUUCAUUGCCACAUGCACGGAGAGGGAGCUGCGGAAGAGGAAAAAGCGGAAAUUUAGCCUCUGGGUCCGGCAGUGCUCUUCCACCGGCUUCAUCAUCCAGAUUUAUGUCCACCUGAAGGAAGGCGGUGGCCCUGAUGGGCUGGAUGCACUGAAGAACAAGCCCCAGCUGCACAGCAUGGUGGCCAGGAGCCUGUGCCGGAACGCGGCCGGGAAGAACUACAUCAUCUUCACUGGGCCCAGCAUCACCAGCCUGACCCUGUUUGAAGAGUUUGAAAAGCAAGGGAUCUACUGCUGUGGCCUGCUCAGCUCCAGGAAGAGUGACUGCACCGGCCUGCCGCCCUCCAUGCUAAGCAGCCCAGCCACACCACCUGCCCGGGGCCAGCACAGCAUCCGGAUGAAGGGGAGCAUGUCCCUGAUCUGCUGGUACAACAAGGGGCACUUCCGCUUCCUGACCAAUGCCUACUCGCCCAUGCAGCAAGGAGCGAUCAUCAAGAGGAGGAGCGGGGAGAUCCCCUGCCCGCUGGCCGUGGAGGCCUUCGCGGCCCACCUCAGCUACAUCUGCAAGUACGACGACAAGUACAGCAAGUAUUUCAUUUCUCAUAAACCGAACAAGACCUGGCAACAGGUGUUCUGGUUUGCCGUCAGCAUAGCCGUCAAUAACGCCUACAUUCUGUACAAGAUGUCAGAUGCCUACCACGUGAAGAGGUACAGCCGGGCCCAGUUUGGUGAGAGACUCGUGCAAGAGCUGCUGGGCCUGGAGGAUACCUCUCCAAGCCUCUGAUGUCCUGGGCGUGGCCCGGGCUAGGCUUUGGGAUGUUCUUCCGUGUCGUCACUCCGUUAAUCGCAAGUGUUGCUGGCGGCAUGCUCCGGAUCACAUCGUAUCUGUACCCAGUUCACGACGGCCACCUCGCCCUGUGGCUUUAACUCGAUGCCACGGAUUGUAGGCCGAAUUUUAAAUUGUGUUUCAAAACACCUUUGCCGUGUCCUUUAAUUGGAUUGAAAGAACUUUUACCACAUGGAGAAAUCUAUUUUUAAUUUGUGAUGCUUUUCUACAAGGUCCACUAUUUCUGAGUUUAAUGCAUUUCCAACACUUAGGGAGACUAAUGGAAGCUGAUGAAUUUUCUUUUCUGUCCAAGUAAGUAAAAGAAAAAAUAAAAGUCUAUUUAGAUGUUGACUCUUUGUUAAU